rnacentral:rRNA from 4 species
ACUCUCGGCAACGGAUAUCUCGGCUCUCGCAUCGAUGAAGAACGUAGC